AGAAAAAGAAAAUUUGAUGGUUGUACCUUUUGUAUCAGGGGAGUUUAAAAUUUUAGUUAUAAUAAAAUCGAUUUGUUCGGAGCUUUGUUAUAGGUUGUUAGUAGAAGUUAGUAACAGAAGAUAUUAAGAGGUGAAAAGUUAACGACGAGUAAGGUAUCUAAUUGUUUUUACAACAAAGGGGUAAGCUUUUGGCCAUUUAUUAGAAUAAAGUAAUUAGGGAAAUAAGGCUUUGGAUUAGCCAUAUUUAUUUGUUGUUUUAGGCAACUCUGGUGAUAAAAUAAAAGUAGAAUUAAAAAGACUAUAAUAUGGUUAAUACUAGCUAUUAAGAAUAAUGAAUUUAUUGAAUAAUGAAAGAAACGUGAAAAUAACUCGUGUCAGGCUAGAAAGUUUAACAAAAACAUUUCUUUUUUAAUAAAAAGUAAGGCCUGCCCGGUGUAAAUUAACGGCUGCAGUAUUUUGACUGUGCUAAGGUAGCAUAAUAAUUUGUUUUUUAAUUGAUAACUGGAAUGAAGGGUUAAACUAGUUUGUUUAGUUUGGUAAAAUUAAGUGAGAAAUUUAAGUAAAGGUAAGAAUUCUUUUAUAGUCUAGGGGACGAUAAGACCCUAGAAGCUUUAUAUUGAGAAUAGAAAAUAGUGGUUAAGUAGCUAGCUUAUUUUACUGGGGCGGUAAUAGUACAUGAACUAUAGUAGUUUUGAAAGAUCCUAUAUAUAAAGAUAUAACAGGUAAGUUACUCUAGGGAUAACAGUGCAAUAUUUUUGGAGAGAUCUUAUCGAUAGAUAUGUUUGCAACCUCGAUGUUGAAUUAAAAUUUCUAUAUGAAGUAGAAGACAUAUAAGAGGGUUUGUUCAACC
rnacentral:rRNA from 1 species